rnacentral:rRNA from 1 species
CAGGGUGACAGGUGGUGCAUGGUUGUCGUCAGCUCGUGUCGUGAGAUGUUGGGUUAAGUCCCGCAACGAGCGCAACCCUCGACCUUAGUUGCCAGCAUUCAGUUGGGCACUCUAAGGUGACUGCCGGCUAAAAGUCGGAGGAAGGUGGGGAUGACGUCAAAUCAUCAUGCCCCUUAUGACCUGGGCUACACACGUGCUACAAUGGACGGUACAAAGGGUCGCGAACCCGCGAGGGGGAGCCAAUCCCAAAAAGCCGCUCUCAGUUCGGAUUGCAGGCUGCAACUCGCCUGCAUGAAGCCGGAAUCGCUAGUAAUCGCGGAUCAGCAUGUCGCGGUGAAUACGUUCCCGGGCCUU